CCCUUAGAUGUCCUGGGCUGCACGCGCGCUACACUGAUGUGUCCAGUAAGCACCUAACCUCUUCCGAAAGGAACGGGUAACCUUUGCAAAGCACAUCGUGAUGGGGAUAGAUUAUUGCAAUUAUUAGUCUUGAACGAGGAAUUCCUAGUAAGCACAAGUCAUCAGCUUGUGUUGAUUACGUCCCUGCCCUUUGUACACACCGCCCGUCGCUCCUACCGAUUGAAUGAUCCGAUGAAUAUCAUGGAUUGAGGAUGCAAGUAGGUUCACCUAUCUUCAUCUUCGAGAAGUGAAGUAAAUCUUAUCAUUUAGAGGAAGGAGAAGUCGUAACA
rnacentral:rRNA from 1 species